UACGAAGGGGGCUAGCGUUGCUCGGAAUCACUGGGCGUAAAGCGCACGUAGGCGGGUUCUUAAGUCAGGGGUGAAAUCCUGGAGCUCAACUCCAGAACUGCCUUUGAUACUGGGAAUCUCGAGUCCGGGAGAGGUGAGUGGAACUGCGAGUGUAGAGGUGAAAUUCGUAGAUAUUCGGAAGAACACCAGUGGCGAAGGCGGCUCACUGGACUGGUAUUGACGCUGAGGUGCGAAAGCGCGGGGAGCGAACGGG
rnacentral:rRNA from 1 species